AGUAAUGCAUAGGAAUCUGCCCGGUAGUGGGGGAUAACCUGGGGAAACCCAGGCUAAUACCGCAUACGUCCUACGGGAGAAAGCAGGGGAUCUUCGGACCUUGCGCUAUCGGAUGAGCCUAUGUCGGAUUAGCUUGUUGGUGAGGUAAUGGCUCACCAAGGCGACGAUCCGUAACUGGUCUGAGAGGAUGAUCAGCCACAUCGGGACUGAGACACGGCCCGAACUCCUACGGGAGGCAGCAGUGGGGAAUAUUGGACAAUGGGCGAAAGCCUGAUCCAGCCAUGCCGCGUGUGUGAAGAAGGCUUUCGGGUUGUAAAGCACUUUCAGUGAGGAAGAAGGCCUUGGGGCUAAUACCCCCGAGGAAGGACAUCACU
rnacentral:rRNA from 1 species